rfam:Ovis aries breed Texel chromosome 16, whole genome shotgun sequence.
UCCUUGAUAGCUCAGUUGGUAAAGAAUCUGCCUGCAAUGCAGGAGACCUGGUUCAAUUCCUGGGUCAGGAA